GCGACGGGGGGACCCCGAGUGCCGUGGCAACGCCACGGCUUUUCCGGAGUGUAAAAAGCUCCGGGAAUAAGGGCUGGGCAAGGCCGGUGGCAGCCGCCGCGGUAAUACCGGCGGCCCGAGUGGUGGCCGCUAUUAUUGGGCCUAAAGCGUCCGUAGCCGGGCCCGUAAGUCCCUGGCGAAAUCCCACGGCUCAACCGUGGGGCUUGCUGGGGAUACUGCGGGUCUUGGGACCGGGAGAGGCGGGGGGUACCCCUGGGGUAGGGGUGAAAUCCUAUAAUCCCAGGGGGACCGCCAGUGGCGAAGGCGCCCCGCUGGAACGGGUCCGACGGUGAGGGACGAAGGCCAGGGGAGCAAACCGGAUUAGAUACCCGGGUAGUCCUGGCUGUAAAGGAUGCGGGCUAGGUGUCGGGUGAGCCUCGAGCUCGCCCGGUGCCGUAGGGAAGCCGUUAAGCCCGCCGCCUGGGGAGUACGGCCGCAAGGCUGAAACUAAA
rnacentral:rRNA from 1 species